GUUCCUGCUCCGGCUCCUGCGGGGAUGGAUGCUUCACGCACCUAAGUCGCGGAAGCGUAGACACCCGGCUUUUCCCGCGUGCUCUAUCGGGCUCCCCUGGACACGGAGGGUGGAGCAGAAAGAGCAGAGGGGCCGGUGGGAGCCAUGGGGAGUCCGCCUAGCUCCAGAGGACACCUUACCUGGAUCCGCCUUUGUAGCCUCCUCCUGGCUCUGGGGGCUGUCCUGUGGGGUCCGAGUAGCUGAAAGACAGCCCCUCCAUGUGAGGAAGCCCCCAACUGGGGAAAACCCCCUCGUGGACUCAUUCCUGUCCCUGCAUGUGGCCUUCACCUGACUGUCUGCAUUGAGGCAUCCUCUGCCAAGAGCAAUUUCAAAGUGGCAGGUCUUGGGAGAUGGGGUGCUGUAUUUGGGAGUAGGGGCGGGGAAGGGUUGAGGUGCCCUGGGAAAACUGGAGGAAGACAUUUUUAAUGCUCUUAUGAGGCUGGGAGCAGAGGCCAAGAGGGGCAGAGCAGAGCAGGGGUGAGGAGAAUGAGGCACUGGCCUGGGCACAGAAUUGAAGGGGCACCAAAAAUCGCAAUCAUCAAGGGAAAUCGUAUUUUAAUGCCAUAUUUUAAAACUCAAAAUUAACAAAAGGAAUCCAUGAUGAACGAACUAUCAACAUUUCAAGUAAAGACAGGAUCUGUUUCAUGGAUAUCUCCUUUUGCCUCAGGGUCCAAUAUGGAACGGCAUAGUUGAUUCUGUCUUUAUUUAAAAUUUUUGGCGGCGCGCGGUGGCUCAAGCCUGUAAUCCCAGCACUUUGGGAGGCCGAGGCGGGUGGAUCACGAGGUCAGGAGAUCGAGACCAUCCUGGCUAACACGGUGAAACGCCGUCUGUACUAAAAGUACAAAAAAAUUAGCCGGACGUGGUGGCGGGAGCCUGUAGUCCCAGCUACUCCGGAGGCUGAGGCAGGAGAAUGGUGUGAACCCGGGAGGUGGAGCUUGCAGUGAGCCGAGAUGGCGCCACUGCACUCCAGCCUGGGUGACAGAGCGAGACUCCAUCUCAAAAAAAAAUGAUAAUAAAUAAAAUAAAAUUUUGAUUUUUUGUUCAUCGUGGAUUUUUUUCCCCAUUACUUUUUGCAUUAACAUUAUUUAUCUUGAAUUCUGGCUGCUCUUAAAUUCUGCACCCAAGGCAAGUGGGCUUCACUCUAGUCCCAUUCCGGGAGGACGGUGGAUUCGUGAGCAUUCGGGAGACCACCACAGGACCCUUAAGCUGCUUCAUUGCGCAGUGGGAUCCCCUGUAACCCCAGACUUCAGUAAUAAUCCCACACAGAAAGGUCUUACGUGAGUGUUUUCUUGUGAAAAUUAAAGGAAAGUGCUGCUUUCAACAUCUGCCACAUUUGCAAGAAGAGCAAAGGUGGCCCAUUUGAGACCACCCUUGAACUAAACCAUCCAGUGAGCCCCUGAGGUCGGGACAGAAGUGGCCAUGACCUUCCUCAAGCAGGGACUGUGGUGGAGCCCACCUUAUCCAGCACAAGGUGGCCUGCUGACUUCUGGUGACAGUGAUGCCAACUUCCUGGCUGUCCAAGGUUCAAAUCUUGGUCUUAAUCCUCCUGGCCUUCUCUCAUCAAUGGCCAGAGCCACCCUAGCUAACAAGGUGCCCAGGGACUCCGGGGUGGGAGAAGUCCAGCUUCUUCUUAGCUGAGGACAUUUGAGUCUCGUCACAGCCCCCAAAAGAAUACUCAUUUUUGUAGCUGGAGGGCCUGGCCUCUGUCUAUCUUUGCUUUUCCAGAAGCUGACAAGUACCUGCCGGAAAAACUGCCUCUUUUCCCUCCCGUGCUUGGAGCAGGCAUUGCUGACAGAUCACAGCUGCUGGGCCCAAAGGUCCCUUUGCACGCGGGACUUCAGGAAGUUGCUGCUGACCUAUGGGAGUUGGUGCAGAAAGAUGAAAUUUGUUAUCCUUGGCUGUAUCAACUCUCUCUCCUCUCCUUGGUGGUGAUAGUUUUGUUCUUAAAAGCCUCUUGUGAGAGAAUUUGUGGAUGAAGAACCUGUAAGAUCACAAGUGAAACAAUUUAUUGAUGUCAAUAGAUUUAUACACGUUCAUUAAGAAUCAAAACUAAACUAAAACAUCAGUCUGACUAAAGAGACCACCACAGAUAUUUCAUAUGCUGUACAUCAGUAACAAAGGGUACCAAAUAGUUAAUAUCCAUGUACUAGUCACAUGAGAAAUGUUUUAGGGUCAUUGACCAGUGUAGUCAGUACAGUGGUCCCAUGGUAUUUGUGGGGGAUUGGUUCCAGGAAUCUCUUGGACACCAACUCCGUGGAUGAUCAGACAAUAUAAAAUGUGGGUCAGGUGCGGUGGCUCAUACCUGUAAUCCCAGCAUUUUGCGAGAAUCACUUGAGGCCAGUUCAAGAUCAGCCUGUGCAACAUAGCAAGACUCCACCUCUAAA
ensembl:lncRNA novel transcript